AGCAGGUUGAUGUUAAUGUUAUUCUCUUAAGCGAGUGUAAAUUAAGUGAAGUGUAUAUUAAACUAGAUAAACUUCAUUCAAACUGUAGAAGGUGUAGUUGAUAGAAAGUGCAGGAAGUCGAAAAAAUGUUUGGACUCGGAAUUAUUGUUUAAAAUGUUUAGACAUCUGAGUUAGGCCUAUUGACUUGCAUUUGACGUCGUGAAGGCACUCCUGCUUUACAACACCUUCAUUCGCAACCGUUUCAGAACGCAGCGUUGCUAGACAAGCCUUCUGCAUCAAAAACAGCAGUUUGGAGUCUGCGAGCCACUUCAUUGCAGUCAGGCAAAAGUUCCAUCGACAUCGCUCUUCUGUGCGCGUCUCAACUGACCCCUUCCGCAUAGCGUCUGCUCAAGUCAGAACCGCCUGCACGUAGCGUUGGGACGUCAGCCUUUUCUCAACAAAAGCGGUUUGGAGUCUGCAAGCCACUAGGUACUUGCAGAAUGGCAGAAGCAAACGUAAAUAUGGCAGAAGAAAACGCCGAUGACGGAAUAAUGAACGCGUACUUAGAAUUGUACGGUGACAAUGUUGUACCGUCACCGAUGGCAAGACCUGAAUUCCAUGAAGAUUUUACGAUUCUCCCAAUGACACCAGUGGCGGUGUACUCGAAGCGCAUGAGAGAUCUACAACCUGGAAUAUCGGAAGCCCAGUUAAACCAGGACUUCAGAGCUUUACCUUACCGGAAAGGGCUAGGUUUAAAAGAGAGGCUGACAUUAAUAAGAUGAUAAAUACAAACAAUAUACUCGACUUCCUCCUAAGGCAACCACCACACAAACGAAAAAAUUAUGUGUGCUUCAACAGAUAUAGGUUCUUAGAAACUUUUGGUAGGGACAUAUUCCUGGCGGACUACCCAAUUGAAGAGUAUCCGCCUUAUCGUUAGUGAGGUAUUGUUCAAUUGGGUACAUCUUCCGCCUCGAUGGCGAUGUUAACUUGUGAGCUUAAGGCUAGUGUGGAUCCUGGCCUUGCUUCAUAUUUACAGUGCCUUGCUUAAUAUUUACAGUGCCUUGCUUCAUAUUUACAGUGCCUUGCUUCAUAUUUACAGAGCCAUGCU